GACACCCCAGAUAACCAAAUAUACGUGGAGGCAGGCUGAAAAGGUGCCUGGAGCAUAAUAUGGCCCCUUUAACUUGAGACAAGAGAUGAUAAGAGUGCUGGUGGCGUCAGCAUGCUCAUUAUGCACAAGACUUUGACCGCUGAGCACGCAACACAGUUUAUUCACUCCACUACAGACACUACAUUACAGGCUGUUCAAACAACGGACACAAACAAGAGCUCAUUCGGAUGUGAGGGGAUUGCUUCUGCCGGUUAAGAGCCAUGACAGUGGAAUCAACCAUUUCACCUGAGCGCCACAGCCUCCCGUCUGUCCAGGGCUGGCGCAGACAUAGUGAAGAAUUCAAGAGAUGUCAAAGUUUGAGGAAGAGGAGCUCCAAAGACUGGUAUCCUCCAGACAUGGCAUUGGUGAGGAGCAGGCUCCACAUCAGGACGACGAUAAUGGACGAAACAACUCAACGGUCUGGUCAUGGAGAUUGACUGGACACCUGCCAGGAACCUGAAGGCAUUUGCCUUGAUGCUAUUCAAGGUAGCAAACGAGCGGAAGGAGGUGUUCUGCUCAUGAUCAUUUAGGAAGCAGUCAGCAAGACAUCAAGACCUCAACUGUCACUGCCUGUCGUUAAAACCAGCCAUUAGGACGCGAACAUGGAAAUGGAACAUGAAGUUCACCAGAUACAGUGGACUUUGAAGGGCUUUGUAUAUAUGUAACAUAGUUAUAUAUAAUAAAUACAUCCUACGCAUUCAUGAA